GGAACCCCUUCCCCAAAUGCUUUUCCGCACAGACUGGACUCCGUCGGGCCUGCGGAGCCCGAGGAGGCGCGCGUGGCCACGUGGUGAGCGCCCCCUGCCGCCACCCGCCUGCCGAGCUCGUCCGCGGCCCCCAGAGACCCGCCGCCUGCCGCUUCCCGGGGCCACUGAGAAGGCUCCCAAGCCCGGGGCGGGGGGCAAGCGAGUACUCAGAGCCUGCGAUUGACGACUUCAGCUUUCCCGUUUCUCCUGCAGCUGCCUCAGUUUCCUCCAUUAAGGGCAAAGAGGCUACGCACCCCCCUUGGAGUAGCCCUGGAAAAAGCAGUUGGGGUGAGAAGAAAUUCCCGACUAAGCACACACGGCACCCUAACCUCACUCUGGCCUAAAAGAGCUGCGCAGGACCGGCGGUCGUCACACACCCUCCCCCUCCCCACGCUCCCUGUGGCCACUGCCACCAGCGCCAGCCUGGGCAGCCUCAAGGGCGCUUUUUUCACCGUUUCCGGAGCCCCUAAUGCUGUAACCCCAGCCUAGACGAGGCCUAUAUAUUGCUAGCCCACAGCUGUGCAUGGCAUCCUCUGUAUAAAGCAUCAAUCCACUUCUGAAAGCUCAGACAGGUGGUACCCAC